rnacentral:rRNA from 1 species
ACGCUCGACACCUACGGGAGGCGGCAGUGGGGAAUAUUGCACAAUGGGGGAAACCCUGAUGCAGCGACGCCGCGUGAGCGAAGAAGUAUUUCGGUAUGUAAAGCUCUAUCAGCAGGGAAGAAACUGACGGUACCUGACUAAGAAGCACCGGCUAAAUACGUGCCGGCAGCCGCGGUAAUCUGAGCGGGCUGGCAAGGC